rnacentral:misc_RNA from 1 species
GAUGAAGAACGUAGCGAAAUGCGAUAAGUAAUGCGAAUUGCAGAAUUUCCGUGAGUCAUCGAAUCUUUGAACGCACAUUGCGCCCACUGGUAUUCCGGUGGGCAUGCCUGUUCGAGCGUCAUUAUCCUCCCUCAAACCCCGGGUUUGGUGUUGGACCCAAGUUGUGUGAACAACUGGUCUCAAAGACAAUGACGGCGUCCGUGGGACCCUCGGUGCAACGAGCUUUUAGGAGCACGCAUCGAGUUGCAAGGACCUUCCGGGCCGGUAUCCUUUACCAUUCUACAAGGUUGACCUCGGAUCAGGUAGGAAUACCCGCUGAACUUAAGCAUAUCAAUAAGCGGAGGA